rnacentral:lncRNA from 1 species
UUCCACUUAAUCCCUAUUUCAUGGCCACAUAUUUUUCCGGCUAAGGAAUGGGAAACCUUUCUCUUGUUACAUUCAUCCAAUUUUCAUUUCAUCCGGGAAAAGCCAUCUUUUUCUCAACAAUGUCUUUGUCAUUUGAUCCAAUAGUGUUCCGUUAGAUAGGAAGAGAUUUGAGAAAUACUGAGAACUCUCGGAUAGAGUAUUAGAACGGAAAAAUCCAUUAGAUUUAGAUAAUGAACUAUUGGUUCUAGUUCUAAGCCAUCUCUGGCGAUGAAUCAACAAUUCGACGUACUUUUCUUGCGUAUUCUUGAUAUUGAUAAACCAGCGUUUUUCUAGAGAUGUAGGAAAAGCUGGUUGGGAAGUAAGCAGCCCCUUUGCCAUCUCUUCAUCUGCAAAGAAUUCUCGAUGUGAAAACACAGAGACAAAAGGAUGAUCUUGGAAUAGGAAAAAGAGUGGAUCUGCAGGAUCCCAAAUGAAUUGGUUUAUUAGAAAAAAGCCUUGUUCUUUGGAAGAUCUAUCUCGUGUCUGGUACUGCACGGUUCCACUCUGCAAGAACUCCGAAUCAUUCUCUUGAGGCUCAUCCUCUUCAUCAUAAAUGAUCCGCUUGCCCCGAAAUGACCUAGCCCAAUAGGGAACUCCCAAUGAAUUGGGCCUUUCGAUACAAUCAAAUAGAAAGCCCCAAGGGCUCCAUAUUCUAGGAGCCCAAACUAUGUGAUUGAAUAAAUCCUCCUCUAUCUGUUGCGGGUCGAGGACUCCUUCCCCUUCUUCAAACUUCGAUUCGUAUUUUUGAUAGAGAAAUAUCUGAUCAACGAUAGAAGAAGAUCCAUUUUGUAUCAUAUCUAAGGGAUUCCUGGGUUCGGGCCGAAGAAGCAAUGUCACUCGAUCAUUAUCAAAUCGACUGCAAUCUUUUUCUGUCCAUGAGGAUCCAAACAGAGCGCCUUCUACUUCUAAUAGGCCAUGAACUAGAUGAGAAUCAUUCUCAACGAGUACAUAAGAAGUGAUCCCAUUUUUUUCAUCGGGUCCGGAUAGAGACCAAAGGUCUUGAACGACCGAUCCGGCAGAACAAUUCAAAAGAUAAAGAAGUAUCGUUAAUUUCUUCAUGCUCGUUUCAAGUUCGAAGUACCAGUUGUACAAAUAAGAACCCCCUUCGUUACAUGAUUUCUUCUUCAUAUAGAUAGAUAUAGGAUCUAUGGAGCAAUUACUUAGAAGUACAUUUUGUGCAAGAGCCCUUCCUAUCUGAUAGAAAAGGAUCCCAUGAUCCUGAACUGAUCUUACCUGGGAUCGCAAAUCCCAAGUUUGUCUAUGAAGAGCAGAUCUAAUUAUAUUAGUGUCUAUAAUUGAUUUCCUCUGCGUAAUACUAAUCGAUAGGGCCUCAUUGGUAAGUGCUACAAGAUCUCGUACAUUGGAACCCAUGGUUAUGGAACCGAAUCCAUUAGUAUGGAACAUUUUCUUUUCCAAGUGAAAUCCCCUAGUAUAUGAAAGAGUGAAAAAGUGCUUUCGUUGUUGUGGAAUAAGAAGCCUUCGUAUUUUAAUGCAUGUAUUCAAUUUAUUCGGAGCUAUUAGAGCGGGAUCCACUUUUUGGGGAAUAUGGGUCGAAGCAAUAACAAGAAUAUUUGUAGUGGAACAUCUUUCAAAAUCCCUGUAGAGAUAGUUCACUAAUAGACCAAAGUAUAAGUGACUCGACUUAUUCACAUACAGAUCAUGAAUGUUUGGAAUCCAUAUUAUGCAAGGAGACAUUGCUUUUACUAAUUCGAAUUGAAGGGUGAUAUAAAAUUGGUCUAUUUCCAGCUUCAUCUCCAUAGUUAGCGCAUUCAUCAUAGUUAGAAGCUCCAGCUCCGUAUCAAUAUCAAGGUCACGGUCGAUAUCGUCACUAUCAUCAAUAUCGCCACUAUCAUCAAUAUCGUCACUAUCAUCGUCACUAUCAUCAAUAAACUUAGGCUUGUUAUCCCGGAACUUGUUCUGAAAUACUGUAAUUCAAGGAAGAUAGGAGUUUGUCGCUAGGUAUUUGACCAAAUAGGAUCGUCCAGUUCCUAUAGAACCUAUCACUAAAAUACCCGGGGAGAGGGCUAAGCGGAGCGAAAAGAGUUUUCCAUGAGAUGGGAAAUGAAAACUAUUAGCCCCACACGAGGUUUGUGAAUGAGUGAUUGUCUGAUAAUGAGCAAGGAAUGUCCGUCUUUCUGCUAAACAGGAUGUAUUGAACUUAUAAUUCAUUAGAUACUUUUUCUGAAUGUCAACUAAGUAUCGUAAGUAAAUUACUCCCGGUUGUUCAAUCAUUUGAUAACCAGAGUCAUUCUUUGAUAAAUGAUCACUAUGAGUCAGACUCAAUAGAAUUUGAUCAAUCCUUUUUUCUGUCGUUAAGGUGGAGAACUGAACCAAGAAUUCUCUUUCUUUAUCAUCAAUCGAAUCACUGUUCCAGACCCAGGAUUGGAUUUUCUCAUCAAUCCAAUCACCGUUCACAUUUUUUCUUAUCAAUGAAUAUAUCUCUUUACUUGUAUGACUUAGA